rnacentral:rRNA from 1 species
UACGUAGGGUGCGAGCGUUAAUCGGAAUUACUGGGCGUAAAGCGUGCGCAGGCGGUUCGUUAAGUCAGAUGUGAAAGCCCCGGGCUCAACCUGGGAACUGCAUUUGAAACUGGCGGGCUUGAGUGUGGCAGAGGGGGGUGGAAUUCCGCGUGUAGCAGUGAAAUGCGUAGAGAUGUGGAGGAAUACCGAUGGCGAAGGCGGCUCACUGGCCCAUUACUGACGCUGAGGCACGAAAGCGUGGGGAGCAAACAGG